UACAGAGGUCUCGAGCGUUGUUCGGAUUCAUUGGGCGUAAAGGGUGCGUAGGUGGCGCCGUAAGUCGGGUGUGAAAUUUCGGAGCUUAACUCCGAAACUGCAUUCGAUACGUGCGGUGCUUGAGGACUGGAGAGGAGACUGGAAUUUACGGUGUAGCGGUGAAAUGCGUAGAUAUCGUAAGGAAGACCAGUGGCGAAGGCGGAUCUCGUGGACAGUUCCUGACGCUGAGGCACGAAGGCCAGGGGAGCAAACGGG
rnacentral:rRNA from 1 species